AGCGUAAGCUCACUGUGAAGCACCACGGACGUUGGAGGCAGAGCGGGAUCGGCUGCCGCACCUGGCACGCUCCCGGUCAUGCCGUGUGGGCUGCUGGGAAUUGUAGUCGAGACCUGGCUCCAUUUUCUAGAUUGUGGCUUCCAAUUUAAAGCAGAGGGCCACCCUUUGCAGGCAAGGCUACAGGUAAUCCUCUUCCCACACGCCCUUCUCUGCUGGAGGCGGGCGAGACCGAUUAAAAAACUGCCGUAGGUCUCCUAUAAAGGGAGGGAGAGACGUGGGCCCUACCAUGCCAGCCAAAGAUCUAGUCAAGAGUCGAAUCUGGGAGGAACCGCAUGUGAUCUGUGAUCUAAUCCACCUGCGACGAUCCCGCCCUAUCAACCUCCUCGCCUCUAUCACCAGUGAAAGGUGCUUCUGGAGAAACCUGUGUUGAACAGUGACUGGGCAAGAGAAGUAAAAUGAAAUAGUGUGUUCUGUGACUGCCUUCAUGCGGAAUUUUGGAUAUUUUAAACAGCCUGGGAAUGAAGGAGAGGCUGAUACCCCUUACCUCAAUCUGAAAGUUGAUUUGGAAAUCAUCUGUAUUUCCCUUCCCUUCUCCCUCUCUUCAAUGCCCCCCCCCCCCAAAAAAAAUCAGUCAGAAUCCAAUGUAGUAAUCAACAGGUUUAUUUUCCUAGAACUGAAAUUGUCUACGGUUCUCAGAGCUAAACUACAGUCAGCAAUUUUUCAUCAGAGCCCUAGGGAGAGGGAGAGGGAGAGGGAGAGGGACACGAGAUGGAAGAGGCAGAGACCACGAGACAGAGGCUGGAGCGCACACUCCCUUUCCUGUCCUCUCGGAGGGGUACAGCCCGACCUGGUGAACCGCCGAGGGGCCGGGUGGGAGCGUGUGGACGGGAAAUGACACCAGAAGGGACGCCAAAGCCCCGGCCACAAAAGGAACGCCAUCGAGCCCUAGCGGAGGGGAGGGGGCCUCCCAGGGCCCUCAGAAACGGGGGCCACAGCGAGGAAAAGAGGAGCAGCGUGGGGGCCACACAAAGGGAUAGGGAUCUUUAAAUUUUUUUUAAAUUUUCUUUUAUUAAAAACAUUUCCUAAAAAAUGUGUCUUAUCCUUUCUGUCUGGGUGACCUGUGACUGCAGGCUGGCCUUGAGCACUGUGGGGAAGGGAAAGAGCGGCUAGGGACCUCCCCGGGACACCCCCUCUCUGGCCCACCGUCUAACGGAGGCGCUGCCCCCCGAUACUCCCAUGGAAGUGGGGUGACGUCAGCCCUCCAGAGCCCAGUCCAUGGACCAAACAACCGGAAGCCCAAACCCUUCUGAUGAGUAACUACAACUCAUAGAACUCCCGGGUUAUUAGCAAAGGG